UUGAGUUUCCAUCUUGGUUUGAGUUUUCAUCAUCUCUCACCCAGUACAUUAUAAAAACCUAUUAGCUGGUAUCUCUCAUCUUUUGAAAAUGUGCUGAAGAGUCAUUUUCUCCUUAACAGUUUUUUUGUGGAUUAUCUGCCCCAAUGGUUGAUUUGAAUUCCUUCAAGGUCUGGUCCUUACCUUUGUUGCCCCGCCUCAUCUUUCAUUCUCCUAUUGGUGUUCUGUGCUCCAAUCAAAUGGAACUACCUGCACUUCCAGCGCUGGUCCCUUUGCUCAGAGAUGAUGCUCAAAAUAUUUAAAGAAUGGGAACUGGCCAAUCAGGACAAACCUGAUAACCACUCAGAACUACUGCAAGAGGGCUUUUUGCUGAAUAUCAUCUCUGCACUGUUUCCAGCACCUUGACCUUGAUUCUCUUCCUGGAGAACGUCUGCAGAUCUUCUACAUGGUUCACAGAGGACUAGCAUUUAAGCAGGGGCUGGAGAAUCUCAAACUCGCGAAGUGUCCAAGGUCUGACUGGAAUAGAACUUUUGGACUCUGACCUUUAUCCUCUACCUCCACUCAGUAACCUACGAAUUCUCCUCUCAGAGAUUUUAAUCUAGUCCCUCCAGCAGGAGCAAAGCUCCUUUACCCACUUGAAGCUAAGAAAGAGGUCACAUGCAGCCAACAUGGCAGACUGACAUCGAACCCAGCAUAGCUGCCCAGUCCUGCCAGAUAAACAUAAGGAAAGGUCAUCCAAACACAGGAAGACAGCCGGCCCCUUGCCUUUUCCUUUACCCCCUCCCCUUCCUCCCUCUGGCUCCCUUAUCCCCAGAGGGUGGACCCAGCCUUUCCCAAAGUUUAUUCUCAGAGUUCCAGGCUCCCACAGUGGAACGUGCUGCGGACAUGGGAAUACAACAGCCUGGCCAACAGGGAAAACCAAAAAUAUAAACGGAGAGAUUUAAGAGAUUCC